CCUACGGGGGGCAGCAGUCGAGAAUUUUUCUCAAUGGGGGAAACCCUGAAGGAGCGACGCCGCGUGGAGGAUGAAGGCUUUCGGGUUGUAAACUCCUGUCAUUUGGGAACUAGUACCAGAAGAGGAAGAGACGGCUAACUCUGUGCCAGCAGCCGCGGUAAUACAGAGGUCUCAAGCGUUGUUCGGAUUCAUUGGGCGUAAAGGGUGCGUAGGUGGCGCUGUAAGUCGGGUGUGAAAUUUCGGAGCUUAACUCCGAAACUGCAUUCGAUACUGCGGUGCUUGAGGACUGGAGAGGAGACUGGAAUUCAUGGUGUAGCAGUGAAAUGCGUAGAGAUCAUGAGGAAGACCAGUGGCGAAGGCGGGUCUCUGGACAGUCCUGACACUGAGGCACGAAGGCCAGGGGAGCAAACGGGAUUAGAUACCCUUGUAGUC
rnacentral:rRNA from 1 species